CGUAGGGUGCGAGCGCUAAUCAGAAUUACUGGGCGUAAAGUGUGCGCAGGCGGCCGCACAAGUCGAGUGUGAAAGCCCCGAGCUUAACUUGGGAACUGCGCUCGAAACUACGUGGCUGGAGUGUGGCAGAGGAAGGUGGAAUUCCACGUGUAGCGGUGAAAUGCGUAGAGAUGUGGAGGAACACCGAUGGCGAAGGCAGCCUUCUGGGCCAACACUGACGCUCAUGCACGAAAGCGUGGGGAGCAAACAGGAUUAGAUACCCUGGUAGUCCACGCCCUAAACGAUGAUGACUAGUUGUUGGAGGAGUUAAAUCCUUUAGUAACGCAGCUAACGCGUGAAGUCAUCCGCCUGGGGAGUACGGUCGCAAGAUUA
rnacentral:rRNA from 1 species